rnacentral:rRNA from 1 species
ACGUAGGGGGCUAGCGUUGUCCGGAAUCAUUGGGCGUAAAGCGCGUGUAGGCGGUCCGGUAAGUCCGCUGUGAAAGUCGGGGGCUCAACCCUCGAAAGCCGGUGGAUACUGUCGGGCUAGAGUACGGAAGAGGCGAGUGGAAUUCCUGGUGUAGCGGUGAAAUGCGCAGAUAUCAGGAGGAACACCCAUUGCGAAGGCAGCUCGCUGGGACGUUACUGACGCUGAGACGCGAAAGCGUGGGGAGCAAACAGGAUUAGAUACCCUGGUAGUCCACGCUGUAAACGAUGGGCACUAGGUGUGGGGGGUGUCGACUCCCUCCGUGCCGAAGCUAACGCAUUAAGUGCCCCGCCUGGGGAGUACGGCCGCAAGGCUA